rnacentral:lncRNA from 1 species
UGGCGCUUCAUCCGGAUGGGGAGGCUGCAGUGACCCCAGGAUGGGCUUCGGUGUCAUCCGCACUCACACCCCACCCCCAGGAACAGGAGGCAACUGCACCUUUACACUGACCUGCAGGGAUCCAGGGAAUUUUCCUCCCUCUUCCCUCAGUCGAUUUGGGUCGCUCCCCAAAGACCAAGAGUCCUGCAGACCGACAAGACUGCUUGGUGAGGAGUAUGCUGUCUAUGGCUUGAAAACAUCCCUCCCGACAUGGCUAAAUCUGCUGCAGAUCCAAAGGUUUGGCUACAGAGCAUGGACUGAAAGCAGCUGCCGUCUGAGAUGAUAAACCCCUCUGGAGUGCAAGUAGACCCAACACAUUUCAUCACUUUGCUCAACUGAGCAUGAAUCCACUCAUGUUCUGAUGUGAGUGGUGCACACAGUGCCCAAGCAGAUUUCUACUUAGAUUGUAUGUCUCUGCUUCAGAAAGUAAACUCAAAACAACAACAACAACAACAAAAAAUCCAGAAAGUAAAGUCAUCUACCAUCCCUCCUGUCACUGUGUUCCUUCACUUUUGGGAAUUUGGCAUGCAUAAGUUUCACAAGGUCCAAAAACUCUUCAAAAUAGACAUUUGCUACAUCCAAGCAAAUGAACAUGAUUUGAAGUACAACUUUUCAUCUCUUCCAGAUAAUUCUGCCGACUUUCCUGAACUCUCACCUAAAUGCUGCACACAUUGUAGAUUUUUGUAGCCAAGAGUUUCUAGUUGUCAAGGGCAUAAUGUUUAUGAAUUACUGUGAACCUGAAAUGCUGUGUCAUAACCACUGCCAUUUCAUAUGUCCCCAUGGUACCUGUGUUGACCACAGUCAUAGGAAUCCUUGAGUUGGUCUGCUUAGACUUUCUUACUACGUGACAGAAUGCUCAAGACUCACCUCAGCUAGAUUCUUGAGAUUGCUUUGCUUAAGCCUUGAGGUUCACAUCUGUGUGGAGCAUGUUGCUGGGUUGCAGGGAGGCACAUUUUAGCUGUACUACAGCUUAGACCAGGCAACUUUUUCCUGUGGCAAAAAACCAGAGUUGUUGGGGAGACAGUGCUAUUGUUGCUCUCUGGGUGCUGUUAAAAAUUAAGUUUAUAGUGGAAAGAAAGUCUUUUUUGCUGACCUCUUGAUUCUGCCUUAGUUGCCUGUGCUACCUUAUCUUUGAGGCAUUCUAUUUACCUAUCCUAACGCUUUCCCCCUGUUUUUUUGACUUUCUACUUUGAAUCCCUUAUUUAUCUGUAAGUCCAUUAGAACAAAAAACCUUAUCUGGUUCAACUUUGUAACCACUCCAGUGAUGAAAGUUCAAGGUGACAGAAACGAUUUAAAUUUUCACUCAGAAGAGAAUGGUUAAAUAAAUUAUCCAUACUGUGGAAGUUGUGCAGAAAUUAAAAGUAAUGAAAUAAUGCACAUGCAGUGACAGCAAAUUAUAUUGAAGUCGUAUUUUUGAAUGAAUAAAGUGGCAGAACGGUAUUUAGAGAGUACUAUUCCACACACAAACACAUAAUGCAUAUAUAUAUAUAUAUAUAUAUAUGCAUGCAAUGAAUUUAUUAAGUAGUUCUAAUUUUCUGGUAUAAUCAUGGAAUAAUUUUAUUU